AGUGAACGCUGGCGGUAGGCCUAACACAUGCAAGUCGAACGGCAGCACAGUAAGAGCUUGCUCUUACGGGUGGCGAGUGGCGGACGGGUGAGGAAUACAUCGGAAUCUACUUUUUCGUGGGGGAUAGCGUAGGGAAACUUACGCUAAUACCGCAUACGACCUACGGGUGAAAGCAGGGGAUCUUCGGACCUUGCGCGAUUGCAUGAGCCGAUGUCGGAUUAGCUAGUUGGCGGGGUAAAGGCCCACCAAGGCGACGAUCCGUAGCUGGUCUGAGAGGAUGAUCAGCCACACUGGAACUGAGACACGGUCCAGACUCCUACGGGAGGCAGCAGUGGGGAAUAUUGGACAAUGGGCGCAGGCCUGAUCCAGCCAUACCGCGUGGGUGAAGAAGGCCUUCGGGUUGUAAAGCCCUUUUGUUGGGAAAGAAAAGCAGCAGGUUAAUACCCCGCUGUUCUGACGGUACCCAAAGAAUAAGCACCGGCUAACUUCGUG
rnacentral:rRNA from 1 species